rnacentral:lncRNA from 1 species
AUGAAGUUCUGUGCGCACAUUUGUUCUGUGAAUUUUCAGGGUAGGAGGCAUCUUAGAAAACCAAAUGAAUUCUACCCCUGGGUGCCAAGGUCUUUAAAACAUCAGCUGACUUCUGAGGCUAAAGCUGACACAAACAGAAAGAGAGGCUGUGCAGAAAGUUGUUUGCUUUGCUAUUUUCAGAUAACAGCAUCUCUUCAGUUUGUUGUUCCAAGAUUGCUGAAGAACUUGGCUUGUCAGGCUCUUUCAAGGCUGGGAUCAGCAUUUUGA